GACGAACGCUGGCGGCGUGCUUAACACAUGCAAGUCGAACGGUGAAGCGCCUUCCUUUUUGGUGGGUGUGGAUGAGUGGCGAACGGGUGAGUAACACGUGAGUAACCUGCCCCCUUCUUCUGGAUAACCGCAUGAAAGUGUGGCUAAUACGGGAUAUUCUGGGUCUGUCGCAUGAUGGGUCUGUGAAAGAUAUUGUUUCGGUGGGGGCUGGGCUCGCGGCCUAUCAGCUUGUUGGUGGGGUGAUGGCCUACCAAGGCGGUGACGGGUAGCCGGCCGGGGAGGGUGGGCGGUCACAGUGGGACUGAGACACGGCCCAGACUCCUACGGGAGGCAGCAGUGGGGAAUAGUGCACAGUGGGCGCAAGCCUGAUGCAGCGACGCCGCGUGAGGGAUGGCGGCCUUCGGGUUGUGAACCUCUUUCGCCAGUGAAGCGGGCCUGCCUCGUUUGUGGGUGGGUUGACGGUAGCCGGAGAAGAAGCGCCGGCUAACUACGUG
rnacentral:rRNA from 1 species